CAUGAGGACAGAGAUCCUCGUUGGGGCAGUGUGCUUGGGGAGGGAGGUCUCUGGGGGAGGCAUGGUCUAGGGUGGUAGGAGAGUGGCAGGGAGGUGCCUGUGGGAUGGAAACCCCUGCGGGGGGAGGACUUGUGUUAAUAGAAGGGCUAGAAGGGUCGGGACUGCCUCUGUGUUUUAAGGAGGGUCCUGCUUAAGGGUCCACUUAGGGAGAGAUUCGGCUCAGGAAGCUGACCAAGCUGGCACACAGGGUUCCCUGUACAAUUCCCUUGGAGGAAUAUUUACAUAAAUUAGACUAACAUAGGGGAAUUAUUUGCUUGACUUUGUAAAACACCAGAUCUGGGUGUUUCCCUUUAAUUAAACCUGACACUCUCCCAGCAUCCCAUCCCUGGGAAAUCAGUCACUCAUUCAACAAGUACAGGCACCCAGGGAGACAGGCCCACAGGACCACUGCCAGACCCCCAGGCGGAUGGCCAGGGCCCGACAGGCCUGAACACACUGGCUCUGCUUCGUGUGCAGGGAAAGAAGAGCGGAGCAAGGUGCAGGAGUGCCCUGUGCCCUCUCCUUUGGCUUAGCUUCCUGCCUGCUACUGGCCCUGCUUCCCUCUUUGUCUUUGCUGUCGCCAGUGUUUUAGGUGGAUCCCUGAGUAUUUAUUUUCUGGGAUUCUUUUGGACAGGGAUGACAGAAAGCCAGCCCAGACUGGCUCCAACAAACAAGGGUGUUUAAAAAGUCCAGAGUAUCUUCCUAGCCCCUGACUCCUUUCCCCUGGGCCAGCUUGGGGCAGCGCACACUGCACCCCACCCACCUAACACUGGCCCUAGGACUGACCACAUGGGCUGGAGACAAGAGCAAACUCUGCUGGCCCAAAAGACAGUUGAGUGCUGGGACCAGGGUGACAGAUGGAGGUGGGCAGGCAAACAGUAGAGGGAGUCAACCUAGGUUUCUUCCCCUGGACUUGCUCCCAUCAGCCACAAGACAGGAGAGGGAGGAGGGGCCCUCCAGAAAAGCUCUAGUGGUCGUGAGCCCACUGCACCUUCUAGAACGUCUCCAGGUGCUUUCCUGGGCUGGCCUGCGUGUGAUCACCCUACUCCUGUCCAAGGGGACGCUCAUAUUCAGUGACCAGCUCAGAGUCCAGCCUGCUUUCCAGGUUCAGCAGCGUGGCUGGAAAUCAUGGUCCAGACUUGGGCUCUCACCACCCUAGAGCGGGUAAGAGGAAGCAGCUGUCAAGGUGGAGAAGCCUCACUCUUCCGCACCCUCCUGGAAGAACGGCAAGAGUGACAGUGCCAGCUGGCCAAGACCGCCAGCCACCACACCCUCCCAGGCCUGCUGUCCUCGCCCCAGACCAGGGGUGGGGUGGAACAGGACGUUUCUCAGGAGCCCCCACGUGCUACAUGGAAAGGCACUCCAGAGGCUGCCCUUCCGGAAGUCAGGGGCCCCGGGGAGGGGACCUGGCCCUUGCCCCUUCUGUGUGGCCGCACACAGUGACCUCCUUCCUGAGAGCACAGUGCGGAGAAGCCUGACCAGCCCACCUGGUGGGGCGACAAAGGCAGCACCACCAGUGAGAGGCCACGUGGGUGGCGUGGACCCCUGACAGGCUGUGACGGAAGGGCACCUCACCUCUGCAGUCUCCUGAAAACCCGUCAUCCCCGUCGGAUGAGAAAACAUCAGGCGAGUCCCAGCAGGGGACGUUCUACAACACUCCCGACCCGCACUCCUCAAAACCGCCAACGUCAUGAAAACCAGCGAAGUCUAAGGAACUGUCCCAGCCAAGAGGAGACGAGAGGACUCAGUGUCAUGUGGGAUCCUGGGACAGAAAGAGGACUGUAGGGGAAACUGAGGAAACAGGAAUACAGUGUGGCUGUA